UACGUAGGGGGCAAGCGUUGUCCGGAAUCAUUGGGCGUAAAGAGCGUGUAGGCGGCCAGAUAGGUCAGCUGUGAAAACUCGAGGCUCAACCUCGAGACGCCGGUUGAAACCAUUUGGCUAGAGUCCGGAAGAGGAGAGUGGAAUUCCUGGUGUAGCGGUGAAAUGCGCAGAUAUCAGGAAGAACACCCGUGGCUAAGGCGGCUCUCUAGUACGGUACUGACGCUGAGACGCGAAAGCGUGGGGAGCGAACAGG
rnacentral:rRNA from 1 species